CAGCCGCCGCGGUAAUACGUAGGUGGCAAGCGUUGUCCGGAAUUAUUGGGCGUAAAGGGCUCGCAGGCGGUUUCUUAAGUCUGAUGUGAAAGCCCCCGGCUCAACCGGGGAGGGUCAUUGGAAACUGGGAAACUUGAGUGCAGAAGAGGAGAGUGGAAUUCCACGUGUAGCGGUGAAAUGCGUAGAGAUGUGGAGGAACACCAGUGGCGAAGGCGACUCUCUGGUCUGUAACUGGCGCUGAGGAGCGAAAGCGUGGGGAGCGAACAGGAUUAGAUACCCCAGUAGUCCCUGUCUCUUAUAA
rnacentral:rRNA from 1 species